UACAGAGGUCCCAAGCGUUGUUCGGAUUCACUGGGCGUAAAGGGUGCGUAGGCGGUCGGGUAAGUCUGUUGUGAAAUCCCCGGGCUCAACCUGGGAAUGGCAAUGGAUACUGGCGGGCUAGAGUGUGUCAGAGGAUGGUGGAAUUCCCGGUGUAGCGGUGAAAUGCGUAGAGAUCGGGAGGAACAUCAGUGGCGAAGGCGGCCAUCUGGGACAACACUGACGCUGAAGCACGAAAGCGUGGGGAGCAAACAGG
rnacentral:rRNA from 1 species